AUGAAUAGUAAUACAGUGACCUGCCCGUUUUGCCCCUGCAUUCUCUUUGGCUUUUUACCUGCUUGCCCCAACAGGUGUACGUCUUCAUUGGCGUUCGAGGCUUUCCGCGUGGCUCUGUUUCCUUGCUCCACGAAGAGAGAACAAUCCAAAGAGAAAUCAAGAGAGAGAGAGAGAGAGAGAGAGGUAUGUUAUCAAAAUGAAAAUUAACUUAGAAUCAGCGAGUGUGGAAGAGGAGGGAUUUACUUGAUGUCCUGCAAAUAUUCGUGUUACGCCAUUUGCAGAGAAGAGCGUGCCAUCGCUGUUGAGGCCAAAGAACAAGUCUCCUAGGGCAAAACCAUUUGGAUUAUGCGGACCAAGAGAAAAAGAGAACAGGGGAAGAAGGGAAAAAAGAAGAAAUUCAGAGGAAGAAAGAAAAGGGGAUAGAGGAAGAACAAAAGAAGGAAAAGAAGUGACUCUCCCUCUCUGGCGAGCCAUAUCCUUAAUGGCCUUAAAUGAUCUGGCCAACUAUUUUUUCUUCACUGGUCAACACUCUGUAGUUGAGCAACUAACUGAGACAGCACUUGCUAUCACCAACCAUGGACCAACAAGGUCACAUUCCUACUACAGUUUAGCACGAUCUUACCAUAGCAAGGGACUGGCUAUGAUAAUGCCACUUCUGAAGUUGCUGUUUUAGGUUUUUCGAUAGGAAUCAAGUCUGCCACAUUAUGGUUGAAGAUACCUAUCUAAAACAGGUUUUAGGUUCUUCGAUAGGAAUCAAGUCUGCCACAUUAUGGUUGAAGAUACCUAUCUAAAACAGGUUUUAGGUUCUUCGAUAGGAAUCAAGUCUGCCACAUUAUGGUUGAAGAUACCUAUCUAAAACAGGUUUUAGGUUCUUCGAUAGGAAUCAAGUCUGCCACAUUAUGGUUGAAGAUAUGAGAUUGAUAAUCCAUAACUUGGGGAAAGUUCUUCUCACACAGGGAUGUCAACGUCAGGAUCUGUAAAUUUGCUGCUACUUUCAUUCAUUCUAUUCUUGGCAUUUUGUAUUACUUUGGUUUAUAUCCCGUCAUUUUAAUGUUGUAUAGGGAAACUAGACUCUGGAACAUGCAAAGCUCAAAGCUAGGGUGGAGAUUUUACAGAGAAAUCAAAGUCAUUUUAUGGGGGAAGACCUCCAAUCCUUGAGUAUGAAAGAGCUUCAGAAUUUGGAGCGGCUACUUGAUUCUGCUCUGAAGCACAUAAGGUCUAGAAGUUCUCCACCUCAAGUUCCCUCUAUUUUUGAGUGUAGAUGUUCAUGUUACGGCAAAAACUUCGAUCGCAAAAUUUGAGGAAAUGUGGAUGCAGCUUCUGCCUAAAGUUACUGUAUAGGAAAAGAGACUAGAAGAGGAAGAUGCAGAAGCACAGUUAAAUAUGGAGAUCACUAAAGGGGCUGCUCAUGCUAAAAUGGCUAGAAACUUACGCAACAAGUUGAUGUCCAUCACAUUCAAGAGCAAAUGAGGUCCUCCCUGGCACAGAAGAAGCCUCACAAGCUAAGAACUAACCACGUGUAAUUUGUUUAUAAACAUCAUCUUUGGUUAGGAAUUUGAAAAUUGUAAAAAUGCCAGCUCCUGCUGAAACUUCCAAAUUUUGAAAUAUGUAUGUAUACCAGUCUGAUUAAAACACUAGAUUUUACAUAUUGUAAAACAAUAAUAAAUUUAAUUAACAUUUUUUACAUUA